GACGAACGCUGGCGGCGCGCUUAACACAUGCAAGUCGAGCGGGGACCGGGCCUUCGGGCCCGGGGACAGCGGCGAACGGGUGAGUAACACGUGGGUAAUCUGCCCUCGGUACUGGGAUAGCCCGGGGAAACCCGGAUUAAUACCGGAUAGCCCUUCGAGCCUUCGGGCUCGCAGGAAAAGGUAGCUUCGGCCUCCGACCGAGGAUGAGCCCGCGGGGGAUUAGCUUGUUGGUGGGGUAACGGCCUACCAAGGCGACGAUCCGUAGCUGGUCUGAGAGGACGUUCAGCCACACUGGGACUGAGACACGGCCCAGACUCCUACGGGAGGCAGCAGUGGGGAAUCUUGCCCAAUGGGCGAGAGCCUGAGGCAGCGACGCCGCGUGCGGGAAGAAGGCCCUCGGGUUGUAAACCGCUUUCAGGAGGGACGAAGCCACUCGGGUUAAUAGCCUAGAGGGUGACGGUACCUCCAGAAGAAGCCCCGGCUAACUACGUGCCAGCAGCCGCAGUAA
rnacentral:rRNA from 1 species